rnacentral:rRNA from 1 species
AUUGAACGCUGGCGGCAGGCCUAACACAUGCAAGUCGAACGAGUGGCGGACGGGUGAGUAAUUUCUGGGAAACUGCCUGAUGGAGGGGGAUAACUACUGGAAACGGUAGCUAAUACCGCAUACCAUCGGAUGUGCCCAGAUGGGAUUAGCUAGUAGGUGGGGUAAAGGCUCCCCAAGGCGACGAUCCCUAGCUGGUCUGAGAGGAUGAUCGGCCACACGGGGACGGAGACACGGCCCAGACUCCUACGGGAGGCAGCAGUGGGGAAUGUUGGACAAUGGGCGAAAGCCUGAUCCAGCCAUGCCGCGUGUGUGAAGAAGGCCUUCGGGUUGUAAAGGACUUUUGUCAGGGAAGCGGUACCUGAAGAAGAAGCACCGGCUAACUACGUGCCAGCCGCCGCGGUAAUAC